CACGUAGGGUGCGAGCGUUGUCCGGAAUUAUUGGGCGUAAAGAGCCUCGUAGGCGGUGUGUCGCGUCGGUCGUGAAAACUUGGGGCUUAACUCUGAGCUUGCGGUCGAUACGGGCAUCACUGGAGUUCGGCAGGGGAGACUGGAAUUCCUGGUGUAGCGGUGGAAUGCGCAGAUAUCAGGAGGAACACCGGUGGCGAAGGCGGGUCUCUGGGCAGUAACUGACGCUGGAGGAGCGAAAAGCGUGGGGAGCGAACAGG
rnacentral:rRNA from 1 species